rnacentral:rRNA from 1 species
UAUAACUGUUAUAACCAACCAUGUAUUAGAACUCGUGUUUUCGUGUGUGAAGGCAACGAUGUUGCGGAUAAUGCUCGAAACACGAGCAAUAAUACGUUUGAUACCCAUCAACAUGUAUCUGGUUCGCUCUCGGGUACCACAACCUGGUGUGUUCCAGUUCGUGUUCGGGGCUCCCACUUUCUUUGAGGGCAUACCAAGCUUAGGGCCAAAGGAGAUUCCCAAUAAACAUGACGGUUUUAUCGGGCCUGCUUCACCGAACUGAGUAGGUGCUGCUUUCCUGGUGUUCCGGCCAUUGCUGGGUUUCCUCCUCCUCUGUCUUGACCGUGCAGGAUUUGGGGUGGGAGAGGAAUAGAAUCCCGGAGGCCUCACUCUGUGUUCCAGGCCUUAAAACCUGGACGUAGGGUAGGCCCAUCCAUGAUGGGUUUCAGUCCUAUCAACUAGACGGCUGGGCAUCUGCCAGCCGUGGUUAUAACGGGUACAGAGGAUUAGGGUUUGAUCCUGGAGAGGUAGCCUUAAAAAUUGCUCCCACUUCCAUGGAAGGCAGCAGGCGCGCAACGUUCUCAAUGGUCCCUUCCCAGAGACCGAAGACGUUAAGGAACAUAGCAAUACUUUGCCCUAAAAAGCAAAGCAAUUGAAAUGGGGGCGACAUAAAACCUCCACCGAGAAGCAAUUAGAGGACAAGUCG